CAACUGAACAAAACGGCAUAGUUCCUAAAGUAUCUACUCAGCUAAGGGAGGCCAUGCCAAACCCAGAGCAUUCCAGAUAAUAUACACUAUAGUUCCCAUCAUCCUAAAGAGCCUUGGAAGGUUACCGGAUUCAUCAAGCAGCCUGGACAAUUCAUGAUUCAUCUAUACAGACUGGACUGAUGCAUUCAAACAUGCAGCAUACAGAAAGGAAUUACAAGAAGUACAGUACCAUUUUGUGUGCUGAUGGGGUGAAAUGUGGAAAACCGAUCUAACUGGAAUUUCUCCUUUGAAAGGAAAAAAACACAAUUGUUGCAUCUGAAGAAACACCUACUAUUUCCUCAACUCCAUGACAGACACCAAGGGGCCGAUUCCCUAAAGGACAUUAACGCAUAACGCAUAGUUUUAUGCAUUAAAAAGUGUUCUUUAAUUAA